GAUGGACGCUAGCGGCAGGCUUAAUACAUGCAAGUCGAGGGGCAUCACAGGUAGCAAUACUGGGUGGCGACCGGCAAACGGGUGCGGAACACGUACAGAACCUUCCUUCAAGUGGGGGAUAGCCCAUGGAAACGUGGAUUAAUACCCCAUAGAAUAUAGAUGUGGCAUCAUGUUUAUAUUAAAGAUUUAUUGCUUGAAGAUGGCUGUGCGUAUGAUUAGGUAGUUGGCGGGGUAACGGCCCACCAAGCCUUCGAUCAUUAACUGGUGUGAGAGCACGACCAGUCACACGGGCACUGAGACACGGGCCCGACUCCUACGGGAGGCAGCAGUAAGGAAUAUUGGUCAAUGGACGCAAGUCUGAACCAGCCAUGCCGCGUGAAGGAUGAAGGUCCUCUGGAUUGUAAACUUCUUUUAUAGGGGGCGAAAAAAGGGUUUUCUAACUCACUUGACAGUACCCUAUGAAUAAGCACCGGCUAACUCCGUGCCAGCCGCCGCGGUAAGAC
rnacentral:rRNA from 1 species